GGCAGUGGUAGAUGCAGUGAACGGGCUAUCAGCAUCCUCUAUCCCGGUGGUGCGGCUUCUUCACCGUUUUGUCUUGUUCUGUAUGAGGUUUAACAUUGUGUUUUGGGCGCGCCACGUGCCGGGACUGUUGAAUGUCAUUGCUGAUGCGUUGUCUCGUUCACAGUGGGAGAGAUUUCGGCAGGUGGCACCUGGCGCACGGGAGGAAGGGAUGUCUUGCCCGGACGAGAUGUGGCGGCUCGGGACAUCAUGCUUGGCGUACUGAUCAGGGAUUCCCAGGCACCUGCUACCUGGGCGGCAUACAGUAAGGUGUGGGGGGAAUGGGACGAACUGGUGCAGCAGACAGGGGGUCAGGUCUCAGAGGAGGCGCAG